GGUCAAGUUAUAAAGAGCAUAGGGCGAAUGCCUUGGCACCAGGAGCCGAAGAAGGACGUGGUAAGCUGCGAUAAGCCUCGGGAAGCCGCAAGCAGGCAUUGAUCCGGGGAUUUCCGAAUGGGGGAACCCAACUAGGGUAAUACCUAGUUGCCCACUACUGAACAAGUAGGUAGUGAGGAGGCAUAC
rfam:Geosporobacter subterraneus DSM 17957 genome assembly, contig: EJ58DRAFT_scaffold00039.39